GGAUCGUGUUACGUUUCAUGGCGUCAACCAGCCUCGACGCGGGAAGUCGGUGUGAAUCCGACGCGGUACCCGCCACUGUGACCGCUUCACGCGGCAGCCAGACCUCCGCUCGAGCUGAUCUCGUC
rnacentral:ncRNA from 2 species